CAAGAGAUAAAACUGCAUCUUAGAGCCAAACUGUCCUGUUUUCUUUUAAAUCGCACUUGAAAUGAUUUGAGGAUACAACAGACGUCCGAUCGCAUCAGGAAACAGUUAUGAGAUGCCAGAAACCACAACAGGUUCUCAUAUAGCCCAGGCUGGCCUUGAGUCAAGGAUGACCUGAUUGUCGUGUUUCUACCUACCACUGGAGUGCUGGGAUUACAGGCUUGUGUCAUCAUGCCCAAUGAAACUGUCGUGCAAAAUGAAGCAACCCAGAGCACAGAAGUGUCUAUGAGCCUUUUAGGGUUCACAUGUUAAGCAGAAGGAAUUUCCCAGCAAAGGCACUGAGAGGAAGGGGAAGCAUCAACCCGAUGCUCAGAACUCUUGAACUGGAUUGUGGCCCCUAGUCUCGACACCUCCCACUCUCUCCACACAUGUAAUCCAAGCAGAUGGAACCGUGGCUCCUGAAUAU